rnacentral:lncRNA from 1 species
ACACAUAAAUGAGCCGCCGCUUAACAGCAAGGCAAGACUUGCAGUUUUUCCUCAUUGCAUUUACAUAUUUUGGGCUGAUUAAAGUUACUGUAUACAUUUAUGGUUAGAAUGUAGAUUAGCAAUUAAUAUUGUGACUUUUCAAUUUGAUAUUUCAGGCACAAGGUGUGAAGUUUGUCGAGCGAUUAUCCGCGCAACUGAGAGAACCUUCCCUCAGCUUAAUGCUCAACCAAGACUGCCGAUUUACCUCGGCGGUGAGUGGGUCAGUGGGCACUGUGAGACCAGGCCUCUAGGCACCUUCCUAAAGCGACGACUGCAAGUCAUAGCCAAUACGUCUACCUGGCAAGUUGACUACAGAUUUUACUCUGAUAUGGCUUGCUCUGCUCCGACCCUGACUGCUACUGCUUCCGGAUAUUUUUCAACUGGAUUGCCGUCGAUGGCAGUACAAGGAGGCACGGAGUUCGAUUUUCAUGUCCAAAGGCGUACAUAAUGCUUUUUGAUGAGGGCUUGUGCACACUUUGCAGAAUGACCCACGAUGUGGCACACCUGGAACUUGGCGGACGGGAGUCAUGCACGACCUAGCGCCCUCGAACGGAUGCGUGACUGUGGGAUCGUUGUGCCGACGACGGUGUACGAGCUGGUACGCCUGGAGAUCAACUCCAACGGGAUGCCGCUGCUCUUCAUGGGUCAGCCAGACCAGGAUGACGCCCCUGUGAGUGUCCGACACAGGCCCACCAGCUACCAACCUCCUCUCAUCCAGUGCGCCAGUCAGCUACCCCCUUACACCCACUUCAUCACUGCUAGAUCCAGCUCUAGUCGGCAACAAAUCGCCUGUGCUAUGGUCAUCUUCAGCUCAUCUAUGUAAUAUGCAAUGUAUAAUCGUCGCUCCCAGCGGACGGAUUAAUGGAAUUGAUGGACAAAGCGAUAGACGAAGAAUACAAAAGGAAAUGGAGCGAUCCUAUUGGUUGAGACGUAUGUUUCUGAUAGAACAAGGGAGAUAAUAAUAGACUAACUAUAGGGUCGAAGAAGUUGCUUGAUUGGGUCCUCCUGGGAGGAGACAAAGGGGACGCCAGUGAACACGGGGUUUUAGAAGAAAUGAGGGUUUGCCAACUCCCUGAAGGGCUUUGGGAAGAUAGGGGACUUUGGCGGCUGGGAGUCGCAGACGGCAGAGAGCUCUAUAAAAGCGGCUUUAUACAUACAUACAUACUAUAGGGUCUCUUAUGCGUUGCCGUCAGUUAUUCUAUUUAUUCUUAUAAAUCUUCAACCACUCACUUCAACCGAUAGGGUUGCUCCGCAUCUUCUCUGUCUUCUUUGCAUAUCGCUCUGGCUGUCAGUGUAAAUAAGUGUAAUAAUAAUUGUAAUAAUAAUCAAAAUAAAUUCCCGCAGUCGAAAGAACGUAACUACAUUGCAUUAAUGCAAAUUUUCUAUUCGCAAACUGUACUUUCACUAGUAACUGUUGGGCGUCCCCGACUGACAAUUUCAGAAAUCGAUGGCUAUAAAGAGCAUAAGAGAACGUGUUUCAGUUAGUGAAGUUCCAGACCUUCAAUCAUAUAAUCUUCACUUUGGACGACUUUAUAAAACUAGAACUCUUUCAGUUUUCUUAUCUAUUGGCAGAGUAUUCUGUAUGAGGUUCGAGGUAUGUAGUUGGCUGGUUCCUCCUCGAAAGAAUAAAUAAAAUUGGAAAUUUUGAAACACGGCAACGGAAAUACAUGAUCCUGCUCUGUGGCCAUCCCAGAAUCGGCGAAAUUUCGGACAAAAAUUGCAUGGUCAUAUUCUUGUAAAGAAUUAAUUUUUGAGGUCAAAUUUGCAACCUUUGAAUGGAGGUUGUGAUUUUUUGUAGGAAAUGACGCAAUGUGUAAAAAAAUAAUAAGAUUCAAACUUAACUUAUCUGUGAUAAUAAAUGAACUUCAAUUUUCUAAAAUGUAAUAUUAAGAUUCCUGAUGUAAACUAUAGUUAAGAGAUUUAGAUGUCGGUGGAUUCUCUCAUUCUUACGGGAAAGAACAUUUGAUUUCUCCUACCAGAAAGGUCUGUAUUGCAUUUUAAACAUCUUACGAGGCAGAGAGGAUCACCAACGUAUGCAAAUGUGUCAAGUAGCAAUACUUCAACAACUUAACAUUAUUUUUUUUAACGCAUUAAACGACCUUUCAUACCGGCAGGACUACUAUUUCAAUCCUGAAAGGAUUGAGUACCAGCUUUUUUAUUUUCUCGCUACCCUAGGGUAGAGGAAGUAUUUUUUUCAUUAAUGCUUCUUUCAUACAUUGCUUUCUUAGGUAUUGAAAUGACUGUCCUCAAUGACAGCCAUGCAAAUAGUUAUUUCAGUGUUUUCCUAUGUAAUAUAAGUAUUUUUAGUGAGUGCGGACAAUGAAUUUUAUUUAUUUUUAUAGAGCUAGACAUCUGUGACUAAAUCUUCUAAGCAUCAGAUAUAUAAGUUGUAAAUAAAGUUAUAUCAAAUUCUUUAUGUGAUUAUAAAUUAAAAUUGUUUUAAUUUUCGUAUUUUACUUUUUUCUUUUUAUUUAAUGAUUUAAUGAGGUGAGGUCCACCAGUCUUGAUGAAAAGCCGUAAGGAAACAAAGGUAAACUUUAUAUAUUUGUCAAUUGCUUUGAUAGCAAAAGUGCAGAAAACACAAGUUACCUCCGAAAUGUCUUGUUAAAUUUACCACUUCGAGAUUCUUCCGAGA